rnacentral:rRNA from 1 species
GUAAGCUUGCUGCUUCGCUGACGAGUGGCGGACGGGUGAGUAAUGUCUGGGAAAUGCCUGAUGGAGGGGGAUAACUACUGGAAACGGUGGCUAAUACCGCAUAACGUCGCAAGACCAAAGAGGGGGACCUUCGGGCCUCUUGCCAUCAGAUGUGCCCAGAUGGGAUUAGCUUGUUGGUGAGGUAACGGCUCACCAAGGCGACGAUCCCUAGCUGGUCUGAGAGGAUGACCAGCCACACUGGAACUGAGACACGGUCCAGACUCCUACGGGAGGCAGCAGUGGGGAAUAUUGCACAAUGGGCGCAAGCCUGAUGCAGCCAUGCCGCGUGUAUGAAGAAGGCCUUCGGGUUGUAAAGUACUUUCAGCGGGGAGGAAGGUGUUGUGGUUAAUAACC